rnacentral:rRNA from 1 species
AUUGAACGCUGGCGGCAGGCCUAACACAUGCAAGUCGAGCGGCAGCAGGGAGCUUGCUCCUGGAUUCAGCGGCGGACGGGUGAGUAAUGCCUAGGAAUCUGCCUGGUAGUGGGGGAUAACGUCCGGAAACGGGCGCUAAUACCGCAUACGUCCUGAGGGAGAAAGCGGGGGACCUUCGGACCUCACGCUAUCAGAUGAGCCUAGGUCGGAUUAGCUAGUUGGUGGGGUAAAGGCCUACCAAGGCGACGAUCCGUAACUGGUCUGAGAGGAUGAUCAGUCACACUGGAACUGAGACACGGUCCAGACUCCUACGGGAGGCAGCAGUGGGGAAUAUUGGACAAUGGGCGAAAGCCUGAUCCAGCCAUGCCGCGUGUGUGAAGAAGGUCUUCGGAUUGUAAAGCACUUUAGUUUGGGAGGAAGAGCAGUAAGUUAAUACCUUGCUGUUUUGACGUUACCGACAGAAUAAGCACCGGCUAACUACGUG